CCCUCCAUUAACAUGUUUUUACCGUUUAAUCCCUGCAACCCCAAAGUUCUCCUGUCGCCGGGGUCGGCGGCGAGGCGGCGACGCCAUGGCCGCACGGCCCACAGGUCGCCGCCGCCGCGGCCUCGCCGUCGUCGUAUCAAGUAACAUCGCGCUCUUUGCGGGCGGCGACGAAGCCGACGAUGGUCCCGGAUUCUCCGGGGGGAGAUCGAAUGCUUCUCUCCGCCGCCGAGCGCCGCGGCAGGGUACGGUCUCAGCAGGUCGGCCAUCCAUUCCUCCCCCCCCCUCCUUCGCUCACUCUGUUCAUGGCGGUAGUCAGGCGGCUCUGAACGAGGGGGAGCUCGGAGCCCUUUUGAUUGGGAGUGCGGAAACCCUCGGUGGCGGCUCGUAACUCGUAGCCCCUGGCUCCGACCACGUCUCCGCCUGAUGGAGGUGGCAUCCAGAGAGAGAACAUCGAGCACGUACCUGCUGAUGCAGCCUGGAAGUUGUUACCCCUGGAAUCCCUGACAUGGAGAACCAACCUUGUUCUGUAGUUUUUAUGCGAUGCAUAGAAGUCCUCCACAGCCAUUGAGAUGCUGGUCCUUGCUUCCUUGCCAACUAACGAUCCCAGGUCCAGGAUCACCCCGACGUGGAAUUCAUCUGCUCCAGGGUCGUUCGUCGCAUUCAGAGCUACGGCACAUGAAUGGGCGAAGAGCAUCAGCAAGAGGAUGGCUCCAGGAGGUGCUUUCUCCAUUACAGGACUACCUGCUGAAAACUUGAGAAGACUUUACCGUCUCUGCAAGACUACAAUGGUCAAGAACUCAAGAUCACUAUCAUGUAUAUCAUAGUAUGAUACUUGGAAGUAUUUGAACCGUCUAAUUUGAUGCGUUUCAUGACGCGUUUAUCGCAGAUGGAUCCAAAACCAUAUAUGGAAUGAUUCGUAGGUGGUUUGUAGAAUGAACAGUCCAUGGAAUAGAUUCCAGAAACUGUUAAUGACUAAUUGGCGCCGUUAGGAGCAAAUCCUGAUUGUUCAGCAUCUGGGAAUUUCUCUUUAAUUGCCUCGAGCAAGCGAUGGCAAGUCAACUCUACUGAUUAUACUGAAUUGGUCAGUACAAUUACUGUAUUCUAACGACUUGUAUUAAUCCUUGACUCGUCCGUGAAAAUCGACUGCUCAUACUCUUUAAUAUGCA